rnacentral:rRNA from 1 species
CGCGUAGGUGGUUCUGUAUGUCUACCGUGAAAGCGUACGGCUCAACCGUAUUUUGUCGGUAGAAACUGCAGGACUUGAGGCUGGGAGGGGCUGGUGGAAUUCCCUGUGUAGCGGUGAAAUGCGUAGAGAUGGGGGAGAACACUCGUGGCGAAGGCGGCCAGCUAGACCAGUUCUGACACUGAGGCGCGACAGCGUGGGAGCAAACA